rnacentral:rRNA from 1 species
AGUUGCGAACGGGUGCGUAACGCGUAUGCAACCUACCCAUAACAGGGGGAUAGCCCAUAGAAAUGUGGAUUAAUACCCCAUGAUAUCAUAGAUUGGCAUCAUGAAAUGAUUAAAACUCCGGUGGUUAUGGAUGGGCAUGCGUGACAUUAGCUAGUUGGUGAGGUAACUGCUCACCAAGGCUACGAUGUCUAGGGGUUCUGAGAGGAUGAUCCCCCACACUGGUACUGAGACACGGACCAGACUCCUACGGGAGGCAGCAGUGAGGAAUAUUGCGCAAUGGAGGAAACUCUGACGCAGCCAUGCCGCGUGCAGGAAGACUGCCCUAUGGGUUGUAAACUGCUUUUAUAUAGGAAGAACUACAGCUACGUGUAGCUGUUUGACGGUACUAUACGAAUAAGGACCGGCUAACUCCGUGCCAGCAGCCGCGGUAAUACGGAGGGUCCAAGCGUUAUCCGGAUUUAUUGGGUUUAAAGGGUCCGUAGGCGGGUUAUUAAGUCAGUGGUGAAAUCCUACAGCUCAACUGUAGAACUGCCAUUGAAACUGGUAACCUUGAGUAUAAUUGAAGUGGGCGGAAUGUGUCAUGUAGCGGUGAAAUGCUUAGAUAUGACACAGAACACCGAUUGCGAAGGCAGCACACUAAGUUAUAACUGACGCUGAGGGACGAAAGCGUGGGUAGCGAACAGGAUUAGAUACCCUGGUAGUCCACGCCGUANACGAUGUACACUCGUUGCUGGCGAUAUAUAGUCAGUGACCAAGCGAAAGUGUUAAGUGUACCACCUGGGGAGUAC